rnacentral:rRNA from 1 species
GCAGUUAAAAAGCUCGUAGUUGGACCUUGGGUCGUCACGGUCGGUCCGCCUUCUUGGUGUGCACUGGCCCUCACGUCCCUUCUGCCGGCGGCGUGUUCCUGGCCUUAAUUGGCUGGGUCGCGGUUCCGGCGCCGUUACUUUGAAAAAAUUAGAGUGCUCAAAGCAAGCCUACGCUCUGAAUACAUUAGCAUGGAAUAACGCGAUAGGAGUCUGGUCCUGUUCCGUUGGCCUUCGGGACCGGAGUAAUGAUUAAUAGGGACUGUCGGGGGCAUUCGUAUUUCAUUGUCAGAGGUGAAAUUCUUG